AUUCGGAGGAUCCGAGCGUUAUCCGGAUUUAUUGGGUUUAAAGGGUGCGCAGGCGGGAGAUUAAGUCGGCGGUGAAAUUUUGCAGCUCAACUGUAAAAGUGCCUUCGAAACUGGUUUCCUUGAGUGUAGAUGAAGUAGGCGGAAUUUGUGGUGUAGCGGUGAAAUGCAUAGAUAUCACGAGGAACUCCGAUUGCGCAGGCAGCUUACUAAACUACUACUGACGCUCAGGCACGAAGGCGUGGGGAUCAAACAGGAUUAGAUACCCUGGUAGUCCACGCAGUAAACGAUGAUUACUAGAUGUUUGCGAUACAAUGUAAGCGGCUGAGCGAAAGCGUUAAGUAAUCCACCUGGGGAGUACGUUCGCAAGAAUGAAACUCAAAUGAAUUGACGGGG
rnacentral:rRNA from 1 species